rnacentral:ncRNA from 1 species
UGUCAGCAAUGACAGCGGUGAUCGGGUAGAAGUCAGCAGACGGCAUAGUAGCCAAAUGCCCAUCGUAAUGGUUGGGACACGGUGAAGGCC